rnacentral:lncRNA from 1 species
GCGGUAGGCCGGCACGGCGGUACUCGGCUCCGAGGAGUGCGCGGACUGCGUGCGGGACGGGGCGAGCUCGGGGGUUGUCUCGCCGGGGGCCAGAAGUUAAUGUUUAACGCGGUAGUCACACGCCCGUCAGCGAGCUCGGCUGGGGUGUUUUCGGAGUGUUUGGAACAGGAAAUGCCAGCGCAGGUAGCGUGGAGCUCGGUGAAAUUUAAUCAGUUCCCAGCGUUUGCAGUCGCGCGAGGAGCGCUCCGGGUGCAGGUGGGCGGGCGGCUGCGUGCAGGCUGCUCGGCACCCGGCGCUCCGUCUGUCCCCUGCUUUGAUUUUCUAUGCAAAUACGGUAAAAGACGCUUUCCAGGGGUAAUACGUCUCGUUUUCUCAGCGCGUUUUUUCCUCUUCCCAAAAGCUGUGAAUACAACAGCACCUUCGUGUAAUGUGUUGCUGACGUGGAGCAAACUGAGAACCGUUUCCCUGAAAUUCUCACAGUGAGCCAUAACUUUUCUGAAACCCACCGCAACAGCCCAAUGCUUUGUGCACGGAAGUUACGCGUUAUUGUACCAGUGAAAUGGAAAGCAAAGUGAUUAUACAGAAGCUCUUAGUGAAUAAACAAUUCUUGUCUUAAAUUGUUCUGAUAGAG